rnacentral:rRNA from 1 species
GGCUAGAAAACGGAAGAGGGCAGUGGAAUUCCCAGUGUAGAGGUGAAAUUCGUAGAUAUUGGGAAGAACACCAGUGGCGAAAGCGGCUGCCUGGUCCGAUUUUGACGCUGAGGCGCGAAAGCGUGGGUAGCAAACAGGAUUAGAUACCCUGGUAGUCC